rnacentral:rRNA from 1 species
AUUGAACGCUGGCGGCAUGCCUUACACAUGCAAGUCGAACGGCAGCACGGGAGCAAUCCUGGUGGCGAGUGGCGAACGGGUGAGUAAUACAUCGGAACGUGCCCAGUCGUGGGGGAUAACUACUCGAAAGAGUGGCUAAUACCGCAUACGACCUGAGGGUGAAAGCGGGGGAGCGCAAGACCUCGCGCGAUUGGAGCGGCCGAUGUCAGAUGAGCUAGUUGGUGGGGUAAAGGCCUACCAAGGCUACGAUCUGUAGUUGGUCUGAGAGGACGACCAGCCACACUGGGACUGAGACACGGCCCAGACUCCGACGGGAGGCAGCAGUGGGGAAUUUUGGACAAUGGGCGCAAGCCUGAUCCAGCAAUGCCGCGUGCAGGAAGAAGGCCUUCGGGUUGUAAACUGCUUUUGUCAGGGAAGAAAUCCUCUGGGUUUAUACCUCGGGGGGAUGACGGUACCUGAAGAAUAAGCACCGGCUAACUCCGUGCCAGCAGCCGCCGUAAAAC